rnacentral:rRNA from 1 species
CCCAGUAAACGGCGGCCGUAACUAUAACGGUCCUAAGGUAGCGAAAUUCCUUGUCAGGUAAGUUCUGACCCGCACGAAAGGCGUAACGAUUUGGGCGCUGUCUCAGCUGUAGACUCGGUGAAGUCUUAGUACCUGUGAAGAUGCAGGUUACCCGCGACUAGACGGAAAGACCCCAUGGAGCUUCACUGCAGGUUGAUAUUGGGAUUUGAUGCAGCAUGUACAGGAUAGGUAGGAGGCAAAGAGAUGGAUACGCCAGUAUUCAAGGAGCCGCUGUUGGGAUACUACCCCUGUUGUAUUGGAUUUCUAACCGGACGACGUAAAGCCGUUGACGGGACAGUGUCAGUCGGGCAGUUUGACUGGGGCGGUCGCCUCCCAAAGAGUAACGGAGGCGCCCAAAGAUACCCUCAGCUUGGAUGGAAACCAAGCGCAGAGUGCAAAGGCAAAAGGGUGUUUGACUGCGAGACCUACAAGUCGAGCAGGGACGAAAGUCGGGCUUAGUGAUCCGGCGGUGCUGAAUGGAAAGGCCGUCGCUCAACGGAUAAAAGCUACCCUGGGGAUAACAGGCUGAUCUCCCCCAAGAGUUCACAUCGACGGGGAGGUUUGGCACCUCGAUGUCGGCUCAUCGCAUCCUGGAGCUGAAGUCGGUUCCAAGGGUUGGGCUGUUCGCCCAUUAAAGCGGUACGCGAGCUGGGUUCAGAACGUCGUGAGACAGUUCGGUCCCUAUCUGUCGUGGGCGCAGGAAAUUUGAGAAGAGCUGUCCUCAGUACGAGAGGACCGGGAUGGACGCAUCAAUGGUGGACCAGUUGUCACGCCAGUGGCAUAGCUGGGUAGCUAAAUGCGGAAGGGAUAAACGCUGAAGGCAUCUAAGUGUGAAACCCACUUCAAGAUGAGAUUUCCCAUUGCGCAAGCAAGUAAGACCCCUUAAAGACGAUAAGGUAGAUAGGUCAGGAGUGUAAGCAUGGUGACAUGUUAAGCGGACUGAUACUAAUAGGUCGAGGGCUUGACCGA